rnacentral:rRNA from 1 species
AGAGUUUGAUCUGGCUCAGAACGAACGCUGGCGGCAUGCCUAACACAUGCAAGUCGAACGCGACCCUUCGGGGUCGAGUGGCGCACGGGUGAGUAGCGCGUGGGAACCUGCCCAGAAGUGGGGGAUAACCGAGGGAAACUUCGGCUAAUACCGCAUACGCCGGUUAUCUUGCAAGAGAUCGCCGGGGAAAGAUUUAUCGCUUUUGGAGGGGCCCGCGUCGGAUUAGGUAGUUGGUGGGGUAACGGCCCACCAAGCCUGUGAUCCGUAGCUGGUCUGAGAGGAUGAUCAGCCACACUGGGACUGAGACACGGCCCAGACUCCUACGGGAGGCAGCAGUGGGGAAUAUUGGACAAUGGGCGCAAGCCUGAUCCAGCAAUGCCGCGUGAGUGAUGAAGGCCUUCGGGUUGUAAAGCUCUUUCGCACGCGAGGAUGAUGACGCUAGCGUGAGAAGAAGCCCCGGCUAACUUCGUGCCAGCAGCCGCGGUAAUACGAAGGGGGCGAGCGUUGUUCGGAUUUACUGGGCGUAAAGGGCGCGUAGGCGGCGUGACAAGUCAGGCGUGAAAGCCCCGGGCUCAACCUGGGAACUGCGCUUGGGACUGUCAUGCUUGAGUUCGGGAGAGGAGCGUGGAAUUCCCAGUGUAGAGGUGAAAUUCGUAGAUAUUGGGAAGAACACCGGUGGCGAAGGCGGCGCUCUGGACCGAUACUGACGCUGAGGCGCGAAAGCGUGGGGAGCAAACAGGAUUAG